rnacentral:rRNA from 1 species
CGCCUGUUUAUCAAAAACAUGUCUUUUAGAAAUUAAUUUAAAGUCUAACCUGCCCACUGAAUUUUUUUUAAAUGGCCGCAGUAUCCUAACUGUGCAAAGGUAGCAUAAUCAUUAGUCUUUUAAUUGAAGGCUGGAAUGAAUGGUUGGAUGAAAUAUUAACUGUUUCAUAAAAAUUUAUAAUAGAAUUUUAUUUUUUAGUCAAAAAGCUAAAAUUUAAUUAAAAGACGAGAAGACCCUAUAAAUCUUUAUAUUUAUUAAAUUAUUAUUAUAUAGAUAAUUUAAAUUUUAAUUUUUUAUAAUAUUUUAUUGGGGUGAUAUUAAAAUUUAAUAAACUUUUAAUUUAUUAUUUACAUAAAUUAAUGAAUUUUUGAUCCAUUUAUUAUGAUUAAAAAAUUAAGUUACUUUAGGGAUAACAGCGUAAUUUUUUUAGAGAGUUCAUAUUGAUAAAAAAGAUUGCGACCUCGAUGUUGGAUUAAGAUACAGUUUUAGGUGCAGCAGCUUAAACUUAAA